UACAGAGGUCCCGAGCGUUGUUCGGAUUCAUUGGGCGUAAAGGGUGCGUAGGCGGCGGGGCAAGUCUGAUGUGAAAUCCCGGGGCUCAACCCCGGAACUGCAUUGGAUACUGCCUUGCUUGAGUACUGGAGAGGAGACUGGAAUUUACGGUGUAGCAGUGAAAUGCGUAGAUAUCGUAAGGAAGGCCAGUGGCGAAGGCGAGUCUCUGGGAAGUAACUGACGCUGAGAAGCGAAAGCAUGGGUAGCAAACAGG
rnacentral:rRNA from 1 species